GACGAACGCUGGCGGCGUGCCUAACACAUGCAAGUUGAGCGACGAACCAGGGCUUGCCCUGGGGCAAAGCAGCGAACGGGUGAGUAACACGUGUGUAACCUACCCCGAUAACCGGGACAACCCGAGGAAACUCGGGCUAAUACCGGAUGUGCUCACUGGACUUCGGUUCAGUGCGUAAAGGAAGCUUCGGCCUCCGUAUCGGGAGGGGCCCGCGGCCCAUUAGUUUGUUGGUGAGGUAACGGCUCACCAAGACCGCGAUGGGUAGCUGGUCUGAGAGGACGAUGCGCGACACUGGGACUGAGACACGGCCCAGACUCCUACGGGAGGCAGAAGUGGGGAAGCUUGCGCAAUGCGCGAAAGCGUGACGCAGCAACGCCGCGUGGGGGAAGAAGGCCUUCGGGUUGUAAACCCCUUUCAGGAGGGACGAAGGUUCGGCGGUGAAUAGCCGUCCGGACUGACGGUACCUCCACAAGAAGCCCCGGCUAACUACGUG
rnacentral:rRNA from 1 species